GCUUGACACUCAACUGGGGUUCAACCCACUGUUUUAUCAGAGAUUGACUACAAUGCCUUCUACUAGAGAUUUGACUAGUAGGAGGUUCUACAACUGUUAAUUUCUAACUGCUGGUCUUAAGAUGACUACAGUUCCUUUCCAAGCGGAAAUAGUUCUAGUAUCUCGACAACAUAAUAGAGAAUGUUUUCCAUUCACCCUCCCCCCAUUUCACUGUCAUGCCAUAUCUCUGUCCUUUCUCCUCCCUUCUUAUCUCUCUCCUUCCUUCCCUCUUCUAUUUUCACAUUGCUCUCUCUUUCACUCCCUCUCCUCAGAUCGCUCUCCUAUCUCUCCUUCUCGUCCUGUAUCUCUGUUUGACUAAGGUGCACUUAACUGUAUUUGCAGUAUGAAGGUAACAGAUUGCCUGUAUCAGAUGAAGGGUGGAGGUAUUUCAUGUCAUGGCUGGGUGAAAAGUUAAAUGAUGGUUUUCAAUGCCUUUGAGUGUGUGUGUGUGCGUGUAAGCUUUUCUGCAGUAACAACACCAACAUGAAAUUACCCCAGAGGAUGUUUAGGCGGCACUUUUCAGAUUUGCAAUGCUACUAGGAAUUGCAGUACUACUGUAGCAGUCUAUAUAAACACACACACACACACACACAUCCCACUACGAUACACUCCAUGUCAAUGAGACAACAUGCCAAAACCUGCUGCUACACGUGAUGAUUGAAGUGUUGGUUGGCAGAUGGGAGAGAGGUGAAGGUGAAAGGCAGUUGGGAUUUAAAUAAAUUUAACAGAAUUCUGGAAUGUCAUCAACCUGCUCCUCUUCUACUAUCUCAAACUCUGGCCUGUAAAGGGCUUCUCUCUCUCUGUUUGGAAGGCCUGUAAAGGGCUUCUCUCUCUCUGUUUGGAAGGCCUGUAAAGGGCUUCUCUCUCUCUGUUUGGAAGGCCUGUAAAGGGCUUCUCUCUCUCUGUUUGGAAGGCCUGUAAAGGGCUUCUUUCUCUCUCUGUUUGGAUGGUCUGUAAAGGGCUUCUUUCUCUCUCUGUUUGGAUGGCCUGUAAAGGGCUUCUUUCUCUCUUUGGGUGGCCUGUGAAGGGCUUCUUUCUCUGUUUGGAUAGCCUGUAAAUGUUUUCUCUCUCUAAAGAUAACUGGAUUUUUUUUAAUGCAGAUGAGUAACGUUUAUUGCAUUGUUUUAUGAUGACAAAAAGUCAGGAUAUAUUUAAUAUAUGCAUUGAGUGUGUUAAUGUAUAUGAAGUCAGAAG
ensembl:lncRNA